GAUCCUGGCUCAGGAUGAACGCUAGCUACAGGCUUAACACAUGCAAGUCGAGGGGAAACGAUAUUGGAAGCUUGCUUCCGAUAGGCGUCGACCGGCGCACGGGUGAGUAACGCGUAUCCAACCUGCCCACCACUUGGGGAUAACCUUGCGAAAGUAAGACUAAUACCCAAUGAUAUCUCUAGAAGGCAUCUGAAGGAGAUUAAAGAUUUAUCGGUGAUGGAUGAGGAUGCGU
rnacentral:rRNA from 1 species